GGCUGUGGGAACCGUCUGCAUGGUGCAUCUGUGCUCCCGCUAGCUGCCAGGUGUCUGGAGACUUGAUGCCAUCUCUCCCCCUCAUGUCAUUUGCAUACCUCCUGAGGCUGUGGGCCGAGUCCAAGACAAUGACCUUCCUAGACAGAGGAGGGCAGCUCUCCAGGGAAGGAUAAAGGAGGAACUUCCUUCUUCUGCUAGAACCCACAACAGGUUUAAAAUGUGUGUGCACGCACGCAUGCACAUGUGUGCCUAGUGAUACCACGGUAGGUGUUCCUGGCUGGUAUAU
rnacentral:sRNA from 1 species